rnacentral:rRNA from 1 species
CAUCCGCGCGCCGCGCCCGCACCCAACGCAACCCAAUCCCCUCGUCCCGCACGCCGUGCACACUCCGGUCCCCUCAUCCCGCACGAACCCUAGAAGAGAGAUAGGAAGAUGAGAGGGAGAGAAAGGGGAGAGGAGAGGAGAGGGAGGUCCGGCAGCGGAUGGGAGAAGGUGACCGGCCAGCGUCGGCCUACACCGGCGAGGCGUCGGCCUGCGCCCCGCCUCCUCGCUGCUCUGUUUACUCCACCGAUUUCUCUCCGGCUGCCGGCCUCCCAGCCCCCCCACCUCGCAAUGGCAUUUCCUAAGGAUCAGCGCGAGCAAGGCCAACAGGCGGAAGGAGCGGAUCGUGGCCUCGCACGCUGGCUCGUCAUCUGCUUUGGCACCUUUCGGAUCCGCGCUGCUGCGUGCGAUGGUUCUAAAUCAGUGCAGGACGUCGCCGCCGGAUAGUAGGGCCGACGGAUUCUUCGCAUCGGGGGCUGGCUGGCAGGGGAGGGUCAGGAGGCCGGCAUGACUUGCUAACGAGUAGAGGUUGAUUAUCUUGACAUCCUCUCCUGCGUCCACUGUCGCGCCGUUCUGCCUUCGGCGAUUAAUUGAGGAUGGAGCAGCAGGCAUAGAUGAAAUCUACUGCCAAUUUCUAUUGGUUGCGGCAUCUUCCGCUGAGUAUGAAGAGUGGUCAUAAUGUUACUUAAAGGAGGCCUCAACUUGCACCAAAUACAUGGGCAUGUGCAACAGCAACUUAUGUAGGUUUCUAAAAACUAAUAAAUGCUGCUCUCAAAUCAGUUAGGAGGAUGAAGGUAGUAGCUUACUGAACUCUCAUUUCCGGAAAAAUCUGGAGAUGUCUUGUUUGUACAAUCUCUAAAGAUGGUGCUCCAUUGUUCUGUUAAUCAAGAUUUGUUCCCUCCUUUCUCACUAGCUGAUACGUGAUGACCGUUUGCAUGGGGGGUUAUGUUAACUAUAUUCUAUUCAUGAUUCAAACUGUUUGUUGGGUAAUUUAGUUUAGACAUUGUGUCCUGAGAAUCUUGAUAUCUAGCUGUAUCGGUACAAUAUAGUUUGUGAUUUUUCCCUCUGAAUUUAUAUAUCCACUCAGGUUGGGAUAGGUUAUGAGUAUUCUUAGUGUGGAAACAGCGGCAGUGCUGCACUUUCAUCAAAUGAUGAUAUGCCAACCUUGCGCCAUUUGGCUCUAUGUUACCCGAAUAAGAUAACAAAAUACACAUGCUCAAGUAUAUAUUUUCAAUACCCCCCUGAUGAUGCCUCAUUUCUUCAGAAUUUGAGGCUGUUCUUGAUAUGCCAGGUAGGUCCGGCUAUCGAGUCAACAAUUAUAUUUUGUACUGUGUGAUGAUACAUUAAUAAUCACACUUGAAUGUGUUACCUAAACCUGUCUUGCUUUUGUAUUUCAUCCUCCUUUGAACCAUCCAAUGACUUGUUCACUACAAAUGAUAAGUGUGAGGUGUACAGAAACCUGCACCUUAUAUUCCUGUCUUGCUUUUGUAUUAUAUCCCCCUUUGAACCAUCCGAUGACUUGUGCACUACAAACGAGAAGUGUGAGGUGUACAGAAACCUGCACUUCAUAUUUCUUACAUUCCUGUUUUAUUUAAUGUCUGAGCCUCUUUAUAUUGCUUACAUGUGUGAUUUAUCUAAUCUCUGAGCAAGUGUGAAUGUUUAUAAUUGGGUUAAUAAGCCCAGUUGUUUGAAGAAGCAAUUUGCAUUUCAGAUUUUAGGAUUGUACUAAUUCUUCUAUCCAUUUUUGAUUUGCCCCUGCCAUUGUAGAAGUAUGAGUGGGUUGACUUUUCUUGACGUGUAUUUUAUACAACGAGCAACUACCUUGCGCCGUCUUCCAGCCACCAACAACCCCAUGACCCUGCAUCAGGUCAAAAAAAUAUUCAAUAAUUAUUUCUUAUGCAGGGUCAUUGAAUUGUUGGCUUCAGACAUGCUGUACUGUUGGGCUUCAAGCGUACUUCGGACAAAUUUGAUUUUGGGAAGACAAAGGUCUGACAAGGAUGAGAAUGGGAUACCAGAUUACACCGACGGAGGCUCGGACAUGGAUCUGCUCCUGCUCUUAGCGGGAAUACUGGAUGUUCUUGAAGCUUUGCCAUACACACGUGCUACUUUUGGCACUUGCGUGGGCUCCUGUUUGUGUCAAUGCAAUUUGCAUCUGUCAGCAGAUUAUGGCGACCUUGGUUAUUGGCCUACAGGGUGCUCCACCGAUGGUGAAAAUACCUCACAGGAUGAUGUUGGAUAUUAUUCUACAAACUUCGGGCCUACCGGUGGCUGAGUAUCGAAGCAAAAUGUGACAGUGGCAUGAUGUGGAUGAAUAUAAUUUCCAUACAUCAACAUUAUCUUUUGGAGAUAAAAUAGCCGUAUGGCUAUUACAUGAGACCAUGUCAGAAGACCCUGCUGCUAUGGAAGCAAAGUGAUUCAUGAAAUCUGCGGUGAAAACAGAGAUAAGAUACUACAAUUACAGCAGCAUUGAGAAAUCAAGGACACGAAAUGAGUCUGAAAAAUGCUAUGGGCUAAUUCGUUGUAGCUAGGCGAUGUGUGGUGGAAGCUGUACUCACAGGAAGACUAUCGUGCUAUGUAUAAACCACGUUCUACGAUUCACUUUUGUUAUGCAUAUUUACUUUCCAGUUUUAGGACUGAAAUCCAUCCAUUUUAAUGAAUUUGGUUGUAUGGGCAUUACCUAUUUGACUUAGGCUUGCUUCAUCACAUAUAGACUGCUUUUCUUUUCCCACUGCUUGUAUGACCUAAAACUAUCAUGUAUAUGAGGCAAGUUAUUAGCAAUGUUUCACAUUUUCUUACUU